rnacentral:lncRNA from 1 species
CGUACCUGAUUAUUUGCAAGAUCUUUUGGUCCUAUUUCAAUCCUAAGAGGAACCCCCUUCAUUUCCCAGUGAGAAUAUUUCCAGCCAGGUGAGUAGUUGUCUCUGUAAUCUGCCUCAGCACGAAUACCUGAUUCGUUCAAGUUUUUGACAGUGGCAGCACAGGCGUCAAAGAUCCCUUGAUUAUUAGCAUCCUUGUAUAGCACGGGAAUAACAAUUACUUGUGUUGCUGCAACUUUAGGAGGUAAGACCAGGCCUUUAUCAUCUCCAUGAACCAUGAUCAUCACACCAAUCUGUCACAGUACCAGAUAAAAGAAGGGUGAGUUAGAUUGACAUCUGAAUUACCAACUGCACAAUACAGAGUUUCUCAAUGGGGAAUAUCCACCGUUCUGGUUGUAAAGCCCCAGGAAUUCUGCCAGACCAUAGCCUUCUCUCCCUUCUCGUUUUCAAAAUUUAUCUCAAACAUUGUUGCAAAAUUCUGGCCCAAACAAUGUGAAGUCGCACCUUGGAUACCACGGCCAGUAUUAGGGAUAAAAGCCUAGCAAACAAAACCGUGAACAAUGUAAAAGAAUGGAGAUAAGAACAAUUUCACCAGCAGUAAAAAGACUGCCAAAUAAUGUCUACCUCUACUGUAGUCGUAUAGAGUCCACCAGCAAACUUCUCAAGCUCGCUUUUCUUUCCCUUACUCACUGGAACAGCUAAGAAGUCUUCAUAUAUACGUCUAUACAACUCCAAGAUUUCAAGAACCUGAAAAAAUCGACAGAACAUGUAUUUAUUAAUAAGUAGUAAAGAUAGAAGCUGACACAUCAAAUUCUUAAUUCUUGUCUAGGAUAAAUCAGGGCACCUCAGUAUCAAGCAACUAGUUCUCUCAAAAGACGGGUAAUACUAAUGAAUUUGCUUUUGAUUAGACAAAUAUUGACAAGAUUAAAAGACAAUCACCGCAUACAGAAGAUGCACAAGUCAGAGAUUAGAAUUGUCUGUCUGCCAUGAAGCAAAGCCUAAAACAGCCCAGAUUUUGACAGAAAGUGGGACAAUUACAAACACAUGAAAAUGGCUUAUUUGCAUUUUGUAAUAUUCGUCCCUGAUUUUACGAUGAUGAUUCGUAUACAUAGCGACAAAUUCCCAUAGUACAAUUUAAGUUAAAUCUGUUUUCUCCAGAUCUUGUCUGCUCAUAUUUCCCUUUUGGAUUAUCCCAAAAUAGCCUUCUCAAAAAGUUAAAACUUUAAGGGGGUCCACUCUUCCCUCCAGCACAAUUGUUCCUCCAAUUUAAACCUGAAUGAGAAGGGUAAUAUAUAACCCACAUUUGAAAUUUAACAGAGCAAAAUUUUUACAUCCUGGCUUCAGCAUCACUAUCCAUCUUCCUUCGAAGACAGGUUAGCAGGCACUGACAUCAUCCCAUGUCAAGACAGCUUAGCAGGCUGGUCCAUGUAACUCGAAAUAAUUGUUCACAAAAAUAGGAUUUGCUUGUCCUAUAAAGUAAAGUGGUAUCAUGGUGCCGCCUUGAGCUUAAACAAAACUAUAGUUCUCCUACUUCUCUGCACCAUCCCAAACAGAAUAAUCAAAUACCAGGUUUUAAUGAAUAAUAUUAACUGGAAAGGAUAGCUUAUUCAGCACUUCCAAACAUGAUACAAUCAUAAGCCUCAUGGCCUGAUGCAAACAGCUCCAGAAAGCUUAAUUUUGCAUCAUAUAGCAAAUGCAAGCAUAGGGCAAAGGACGGGGUAGGCAUAAAAAGAAAAAGAAUUUUAUAAAUUACUAAAUUUCAGUUAACAUCCAAUAUUUCAAGCUAUAUACUACCCAAUGUUGUUUGAAGCACGCACUUCGUCGCUUAAAGCGAGGCGCAUGUUCACCGCUUUUCAGGCGAAGCGAGCGGUUUUCACAACAUUGGACUUGAUACACAUUGAUAUGUAAUAUAAUUUAUAUUUAAUAGAGAAAUACCUGCUUAUAUUUAUUUAUAAUUAUAAAUAAAGCUUCAUUUGUUAAAUAUUUAUUUUUGUUGAGUUAUUGUUUAUUUAGUUAUUUUAUUUAUCUUUGCAUUGCUUAUUUUAGUUUAAUUUUAAAAUUGCGCUUCACUGAAGUGAAGCGCGCGCUUCGCUUCGAGCUUCGCGCUUUGGGUGAGGCGAGCCCUCGUCGCUUUUUUGCGCUUCGUGCUCUCCAAAACACUGAUACUACCUGUAUAGAAUUUUUAAUGAUCAAUUGCAUACUGUAACAUAUAACCGAAAUACAUCUGCAUCUGCCUCCUCCUUAGUUGCAAAAGCAGUGUGUCCUUCUUGCCAAAGAAACUCACGGCUCCUGAGUAAGGAACACAGGCAAGGAGUGUUACACACAGCUUGAUGAUCUCAAAUGAAUAGAAGGUUGAUGUUUAUAACGAAUAAGCUAAAUAUACAUGCGGAGCAGGUAGAAGAAAGGAGAUAACAAUUAGGUCCAUCCUCCCCAGAAAGAUGAACGUAGGAUUUGAUUAGCUUAAACAAGUUGCAAAACAAAGUUGCAGAUAGAGCACAUCAACUUUCUGAUGUGAGACAGGUAAAAGAAUUAACUCAAAAAGCAAACCUGAUGAAGGGGGUUGGGUUGCUAAACUCCCACCGCACAACGUUGCACCACUGGUUAAGUCUCAAGGGCAAGUCACGGUGUCCCCUUAUCCACUUAGAGAAAUAAGGAUACAUCACUGUUUCACUUGUUGGUCGAAUCGCAAUGGGGACUUCCAGAUCAGAUUCUCCAGAUUUUGUAACCCAAGCAACCUAAAGAAUGAUGACAACCGGUUAUAGAGCAUAGUAGAUGAACAAAUGCUAUACAGUUUUAGAUUGCUUAAGAGGAUGCUACAAACUGAAGACCAUGAUAGAAGUUACCGUUAUUGAAAUUAACAAUACAACUGAACAAAGUAUCUUACAUCUAGGAAUCAUACAUCACCCAAAUAUGUGGUAACUUUCUAUACUAUAUGAUGCCUUUGAAGGAAAUUUAAGAGAGUAGAAAGUGGGAAGUCCUUUUCACAUUUUACUAUUAUCCCUUGAAGAAAGAAGAAUAAAAGCAGCAGCAACAGCUUAUAUACAUAUUUUGGAAGAUAAAAUCCAGUUUCACAAAUCAAGGUGUCAUAAAACGAAAAGACAGAAAAUGGAAAGGAAACAAAGAGGUGUAAAAAAAAACACAAAGCCUUCCCAGUGCUUCACAGAGUGAAAAAAUAACUCGAGUUUGCCAACAAGAGCCUCACCUCACCUCAGGAGCAAAUCCUUCUAUGUGGUCCUUUUCCUUUUGUAGAACACCAGGGGACACAAAAAGAGGGAAGUAGGAGUUCUUUAUCUUCAUCUUCUUAAUUUCAGCAUCAAAAAAGGCCUGGAAACAGAAUUAAGAAUGCAUUGUAAAUGUAAUGAAGAAAGGGGUGAAAAAUUGUCAGUCAUGUAGAUAACAUCUCCUUUUCAAAAGAAUUGUCAACUUAGCUGACAUAAAAAAGAAUUCAAUCCUGAAUAAGGCCCACACAAAACAAUCAGUUUGAGGGACAUACUUACUUGCAAUAUCUCCCAGAUGGACAUUGCCCAUGGCCGUAAGAUAUAGCAGCCAGAAAUAUCAUAGUACUCAAUCAUUUCACCACUAACAACCACCUACAAUUAUUAGUCAAGGAGGAGUAAAAAUCAUGAUAUGUGAUAAAAAGGAACUUGUAAAUGCAAUAUGACAGGAAGUACAUAAAAAGAGCAGGAAUCUUAAGAAAUGCAUCACACAAGUAAGCAGAUAUAUACCAAAGUCAAUUGUUGUUGAAAACGUACAUGACAUUGAGCUAUUCACUUAUAGUACAUGUCUGAUAGAGUGCAUUAAACUUACUAACAAACUGGAGAUACAGGCAGGUUUAAAACACCAGUAAGGGAAGAAGGUUGGUAACAAAAGGGAAGCUUUCUUUUUCGGUUAUGUUUGCACAUGAAUGAUCUACUUGCCGCCAGGGACAUUGAUUCUAUGAAAUAAUAGAACAGCUUAUAGAGGUCUUUGCCAAGGAAUUUCAGGUUGGCCUAUGUUAUCCAAAGAUUCUUUUGAUGCAUAUUAGGGAUCAAGGAAAAUCAAUUCCGGCUCUGUUGAAAGUUAAUAAAGACAAAAGACUUGCACCGCCAAAACAAUACAGGAACAAAGAAGAUGGAGAAAUGUGCAGAAAAUGGACUAGAAAUAAAAAGAGAUGAGUAGAAACUAAUCUUGCCCUGCCCAACAUGGCGCCAAGAAAUCCUCAAUUAGGUACCUCCAUGUCAUGCACUAACUAGUUUUGUAAUGCCAAGUGAAAGACAUUAAAUAAAUAAGCUUUUGGGGAAGAGGGGGGGGAUGUAACUUUAGAAAAAUUGGAUUGCUUGAAGCAUCUGGAAGCUCAUAUUCCAACUCUUUUUUUUCACAAAGCAAAAUAACCUCAGAAGCACCCAUGAAUAUCACAUUUAGCAUCUCUAAUAGUUGAACAUUCCAAUCUUACCUCAGAAUACCACUCCCCAAAGUUCUCAUCUUUCUUGGAAGAGAGACCAAGACCUGUCUCUUUCUUGACUUCUUUCUUUUUUCCCUCUAAACAAAAGGCAAGACGAAAAUAUUACAAAGUGCAGACUGAAAACUUUGAAGAGUGAGAACAGGAAAUUUGCAUAAGCAGUCAACUAAUGAGAAUUACAUACUAUUUGAAUCUUUACCAGCCAUGGAAGCAAACACCUCAAACAAAAGCUAAAUAUGUUCCCUCCCAAUAGCCAGGGUACUGUUUAACAGCAAAACAAGGCCAACAAUUAAUCAAGUUCAACAACGAUCAGCUUGCGCAAGCAGCCAAUUAUCAUCUAUUUUCUUUUUCUUCUUAAUUUCAUUGAUCAAUCAAUUCAAGAAUACGAAAGUUUUGCACCCUUUUUUCCUAUGAUAGAUGCAUCAAGAUUUUCAUCCGGAUCUGCUUUCCAUCAAUUUUAACACUAUCAAAUUUCUGAAUUACUCAAUUACAAUAGAACUCGCAUACACAUAUGAAAAACAGAAGCUACUAGCUGCAAUAAUCUAAAUUGUAAUAAUGCCCGAAAAGUAGUUUCAAGAAGGUGCUACUUCAUCAGGUUUCUCCCGUUUGGCCAUAGACUUUGGCUUCAUUUUUUCAAAAAACAAUUGAAAACAUUGUUUGUUUAUGAAAUAUGAUAAUGUUUUGGGAAAAAAAAAUCAAAAAUUUUCAAGUUCCUAAAUUCUAGUUUAGAGCAGUUUUUGGGUGAAAAUUUUCUUUCCACUCACAAAACUUCAACUUUUCUUCAAAAUAAAAUGCAUGACCAAACACAACUUCAACUUUCAAAAAUUAUUUUUCAACAACUACAAAAACUCUUUUUUCAAGUUUCAAUCAGAUUUAUGUCUAGCUUAAACUUUUGCCCAUCUAAAACAGGUACGAGACUUACAAAAAUCAUGACAAGAACGAAAAAUAUGCACUUUGGUAUACCAGUGUUUAAAAAAGCGCCCGCUUCCUCGCUUUAAGCGAGAAGCAAGGCGAAGCGUGAAGGGCAGCGCUUCAGCAAGGUGAAGCGACUCAGGUCAGUAAAAGCGACCGCUUCUCUGUAAAAAGCGAGAAGCGGGGAAAGCGAAGCAAAUCGAAGAAGCGUCCGCUUCUCUGUUUUAAAAUACCCAACCCUAUUUUAUUAAAAACGAGUUUUUGGAUUAAACACUGGUCUGGACUUCUUCAACAACAGCGACUAGGGUUCUUCUUCUUCUUCUUCAACUUCAAGUUCAAGACUUCAAGACUUCAACAGGUAUGUUCUGAACUUCUGAUUUUCAUUCUCCUUCUUCUUCUUCUUCUUCUUCUUUUACUUUUUCUUUUUCUUUCUAAACGUCCAAAAAGCGGCGAAAUGCUACUGCCCAAUUUUUUCAGUUUUUAACAGAGAAUUCCUCUAAUUUUUUAUAUCCUUUAUUCUUAGUUCUUAUUGCCUUUCUUAUGUGUUAUGUAGUUGUUCUUUUAAUGGCGCCAAAAGAAGAUAGGAAAGACCCGGCUUGGGCUUACUCUGAAAGUGUUUGCGAGACCAACAAGAUGGCAAUUAGAUGUCUUUUUUGUGACAAGAUUUCAAAUGGGGGAAUCUAUCGUCAAAAAGUGCCUCUUGUCCUAAAGUUCCGUCGCAUGUGAAGGAAGAUUUGAAAGCAUUCCUUCAAAAAAAAAAAAAGAGUUAAAGACUCAAAUGAUUCACGAACAAGAACUGCAUAAUCUUGAUGACGAUGAUGAAACAGAAGAAGAAGUUGAAGAAGAUGACAAGCAAUAUAAUAAUGAUAGCGGAAUACAAGAAUUUGACAAUCUUGUAGAAGAAUAGGAUGCUCAUUUUGUGCUUUAAUUGAUGCUACUAUUUAAUUUUUACAUUGAAGUAUUGAACAUUUGCUUACAAUUACAUGUGUUGUCUAUGCAGUAUUUAUUUUAAAAUUUUUUUAAAAUUCCGCUUCACUUCAAAAAAGCGAGCGCUUCGCUUCUCGCUUCUCGCUUUAAGCGAAAUGGGGGUUGUCGCUUUUUCUCGCUUCACGCUCUUCACAACACUGUGGUAUACUCAAUAAGAAUAGCUAUAAUGGGACAUAAAAUAAGGCCUAAUAUAAUGUAACACAACACCCAUUAACAUCAAAUUGAAAUAAGUUAAACGGAAAAGGGUCAUAUUUGCUCCUGUACUCUUUAAAAAGGUUAUAUUUGUACUUCGUUAUACUUUUUAGAUAUAUUUAUCCUUAUCGUUAUACUUUAAGAUCAUAUUUGCUCUUGUACUCUUAAAAAGGAUUAUAUUUGCCCUUCAUUAUACUUUUUUGACAUAUUUAUCCUUACAAUUAUACUUAGGAUCAUAUUUGUCCCUCAUCCGUUAGAUCGCCAUGUCCCACCUUUGUUUUCCUACAUGGCGCCUAUGUGAAUUUCUUUUUCUUCCAAUUUAAAUAUGAUCACACCCAAUUUAAAUAUGGUCAACACUUACCUCACUAACUGUGGUGACCUAGUUAGUGUGUCUUAUUUAAAUUGGGUGGGCAGGUUAAAUUAUCUUAAAUAGGUGAACAUAUUUAAAUUGAAAGAAAAAGAAAUCCACGUAGGCGCCAUGUAGUAAAACAAAGGUGGGUCAUGGCGAUCUAACGGAGGAGGGACAAAUAUGAUCCUAAAGCAUAAUUGUAAAAAUAAAUAUGUCAACAAAGUAUAACGAAGGCAAAUAUAACCGUACCAUUUUUAAAAAGUACCAGGUACAAAUAUGACCCUUUUUAAUCGAAAAAAGAGAUAGGGGCAACAAUUUUAGACUGACCUUGGCUACAAAGAGAGGCGAAAACGACGUCGAAAAGAGGAGAGUUUGAGGAUGAUGAAGCGGCGCAGCAGUGGAAGCCCGAAGGAGAAGGAAAGUGUCAACGCAAGGAAAGAGUAUGGGAAAACGACACGCUGCUCUUUAUCCUGUUUGAAUUGUGAGUAAAUUCAGAUUCACCCCUCUAUUGGAAUUACACAAUGAAUUCACCCUACCAGAGGGUAAACAUGUUGAUAAGCGUUAUUUUCCUUUUAAUUUGCUCCAAAAUACUUUUUCAUAUUUUAAAAUCUUUGAAGUCUAAUAUUUUUUAGAUUUCCUUUUGCAUCGUUAUAUAGGAGUAGUAGUUAUUGAUCUAUAGUUUUAAUUUUUAUGCGUUGCCGAUGCAAAUAUAUUUUACAAGUGCAGUUCAGCAUUCAGAUUAUUGUAAGAAAAUUACUUACUUUAUUUACCAGGUUACUAAUCUUCUGGAUGCACAAGAUUAAAGGCUUUCUGGCCGUAUUCUAAUUAUCUUUAUUUUCUUUAGAAAUAUAAGAAGCAUUGCAGCAAUGAGAAUGAACGAACCUUGAAUACUACGGUGAUAAGAUAGCCAUUUGGUGUAUACUAUUUUUGAAAGUAAAUCAUAAGUUACAAGAAAGACAAAGGGCAAAUAUUUAGGAGCAUCUCUUUGAUUUGUGAACUAUAAAUUUCAAUUUAAGAUUGGAAAAAGGGGGAAACAAAAGACAGAGUGAAUUAUCCAGCACAAAACAUGGAUGCAAUUAGCAAUUCUGGAAUACAAUUUCUAAAUCGCCCGAACUCAGAAAAAUGUAAUAGAGAUCAAUAUGAAAUUAUGAAUCAUCAAUAGCUGCGGCCCCAGUAUGUCCAUUUCUUAGCAGGUUUACCAGAGGCAAAGCACAAUGUACCUAUGACGUAGCAGGAGAAAAUGAUAAUAUUAGAUUAUGGCAGUAAAAUUCAAUUUUCAAUUAAUAGUACCACCAAAACAGCAGUAAAACUGACAAGUCUACAAGUAUACAUUGGCAACGCUUAACUUCGCUGCGUUUUAGGCAAUAGUUAUACAUACUGCAAGGAUAAAUAGUACCUUCAGGCAGCUCAGGCUGGUCAAAUGGAGAACAAAGAGUCUUCGCUGCACCCAUUUCCCCUUUUGUGCGUGCCUUCACAUCUUUCUCGACAUCCUAUUAGAAAGUAUCAGAGUUCAUGUGAAACGAAUGCGAACAAGAAAUGAUGAACUAGCUGGAAACACCUCAAUUUCAGAUGAAUGUGCAUCAGGAAUAACAAACUCACUAUGCAAAUUAAUAUUAUUAUCAUAAGAGAAGGAUAAGCUGCACUCACCAGAAACAAAGUGCUAUGGAAGGAUUUCUUAGUUUAAGUUCGUUCCCAUUUUCAUUAUCUUUUGGCUGGGAAAAGGAGGUGGCAUUUUUAGCAGUGUAGCCAAAAUAGUCUAUUCACCAGGGAAAACAUUAACUACAACUGAUACAAUCUUUCCCUGCUUCGUAAAAGUGAACGCAUGAUUUGUCCAAACCGGACAAACCAGACAUAGGAGCAUCCAUACUUCAUUUCUGGAUGAUGGAAGCGAGUUUCUUUAAGAUGGUUAAGGUGUGACUCUAGUUAGAGCUUAGUGAGUUUUAAACCCCUUCACGUAAAAGAGAAGAAUAUGUGACCAUCUGCAUAAGGAACACUUGUUUGUUAUCAGAUCUGACCAAUGCAUUAGUUCUGAGUCCGUCUAUUACCAUAUCUUUUAGAAGGGUUCAUGAAUCUCAAGUGAAUUCUAGAUUUAAUUUGAUAUAAUCAGUAGAUAUUGAGUGCUAAUUGACCAUGAUCGCAAUCCAUUGAAUUUCAAGAUUGACUAAAUCAACCCUGCCAAUAUGCAGAUUUCAAGAUCAAACUUGCCUGAUGUCUGACUCUGUGAAACUCCCUCUGUUAUCGCGGCCCAACACAUUGAAGAGGAAAAUAAAAAAUUCAUCUCAUUUGAUAGGAUUUUACCUCCUCAUCACACCAAGGAGCCAAGAUCAACUUCUUUUGGCUUAGUGCUUCAGCAAAUUCAUCCCAGGUCUUUACAACCUGAACACAAGCAUCUCGCUUUUGUUUUGCAACAUCAAACAGAUUUUGUUGGAUAGAGGCGAGCACAUCUUUUACUUGUUCGACUAAAUUUGCCACAGGAAUAUCUGUUUUCGCUCCGUUGUCACGCCGAACAGCUCGUACCUGGGAAAGUUAUUUCAGAGUUUUGGAUCGAAAAACUAUUAAAUUAAAAAACAGCAUGUUAUUUGGCUGCUCUCAGAAAACAAACAAUUAACACCAUAGAACACAACAUUUCUACUUUUUGUUUUCAUGAACAACGGACUCAGUAGGGAGUAACUAUAAUUGGUACCUGAUUAUUGGCAAGAUCUUUUGGUCCUAUUUCAAUCCUAAGAGGAACCCCCUUCAUUUCCCAGUGAGAAUAUUUCCAGCCAGGUGAGUAGUUGUCUCUGUAGUCUGCCUCAGCACGAAUACCUGAUUCGUUCAAGUUUUUGACAGUGGCAGCACAGGCAUCAAAGAUCCCUAGAGUAUUAGCGUCCUUGUAUGGCACAGGAAUAACAAUUACUUGUGUCGCUGCAACUUU